CCCAUGCUGAAGUUUCAGAGCUGCGAAAUGUUGCUACGCUUUUUUCCAAACAACAAAUAUAAUGACUGAGCACUCCUAACAAGGGAAUAUUAAGGAAGUUUCUGAAAGAGAGGAAUAACAAGUAAAAAAAAAAAAGAGCUAUGGAAAAAUAAUCAAGCUUCCUGUGCAGAAGGAAAAAAGUCUACUCAGAGGAAGUACUGAGUAGUAAAUUAUAAAACAAUUGUCAUAGCAUACUCUGGCUUGAUGUGGGCUGGUGUUAAAUACAAUGACCCACUUAAAAGAGACAGUGGCUUACAACAGAAGAAAAUCAGAAGUCUUUGCAACGGAGGCUGAUGCAUUUUUAGAAGCCAGAAGGUAAGCAGAAGCCUCAGUCAGUGGAUGUUCUUAAUGCUUUCUGUCCAUGCAACGUAUUUCAAUUAAGUCGAGGUACUUGUGAUGUAGUAAGAUAAUUUAAAAGA
rnacentral:lncRNA from 1 species